GACCUUUUCAUUAAGCGCGAAUGCCCUAUAUAGGGUUCUGCCGGGUUCGCCCGGCUAUGGCGAUAAACAAUGGCGUAUAAUAGAUGCAGCGGACCCGGGGGCAGUACCCGGCGGCUCCACCAUAACCGGUGGUGUAUCUGGACACCGUUUCUGACGGGGCCGAACCAGGAUCGACGUGUAUUGAAAAGCGCUGUCUUCGCUCGGAAUGGGACCACCGCAACGGCCCAUUACACAAGUGCCAACGAUAACGAAGCACUCGCUAUUGCGGCGUAACCUCACGGCUUAACGGCCUAAGGUUAUUCUAAAAUGCGCGGUUGGGCCACACCGGGCAACAGAAGUGGACUCCA
rfam:Sphingomonas sp. TDK1 TDK1_contig_12, whole genome shotgun sequence.